UGUGACGGAGAUAACGACUGCGGCGACGGCAGCGACGAGCGCGACUGUUCUGGGUCAUCGUCAUCCAACUCCAGCUGUAACAGCGACCAAUACUCCUGCGUAAACGGCAACUGCAUCACAGGACGCUACGAAUGCGACGGCGACAACGAUUGCGGCGACUGGAGCGAUGAACGGCACUGCGCGUGUUCCUCGGAACAGUUCAAGUGCGAGAACACCGGCCGUUGCAUCAGAAGGACGUAUCGAUGUGACGGAGAUAACGACUGCGGCGACGGCAGCGACGAG
rnacentral:lncRNA from 1 species